CGCGGCCAUGGCGCUCCCGCUCGCCGCUCUGCGCGUACUGUUGGGCGGCUUCUUCGCGCUCACGGGGGCGGCCAAGCUCUCGGAGCAGAUCUCGGCUCCGGUGUCUGAGCAGAUGUUUUAAAUCAGACCCAGGACUUCUUUGUGGUCAAAAGGCAAGGGGGAAGGAAACAAGACUGGAAGGCCUGUGAGAUGUGAAACCUUUUCAGCUCUGCCCAGGGUGCUCCAGGCAAGCCCCAGGAGAGGACCUUCACCAAGUCCCAGGUCCGAGAUGAACAGCAGCGCUGGGGAGCUGGGUGUUGGUGCUGGCGGCCGCAGCCCCUGGGACGACCCUGCUGGCUUCAUCGUGGUGCCCGCAGCCUACGCCUUGGCACCGGGCCUGGGGCUGCUGGCCAACGUGGCGGCCAUGGCAGUGUUCGUCUGCCACGGCAGGCGCCUGGGCCAGGCCCUGCGUCUCCACCUGCUCAACCUGGCCCUGGCCGACAUGGUCUUCACGCUCACGCUGCCGCUGUGGCUCACCUACUACCUGGGCCCGACCCCCUGGCCCUUCCCGGAGGCUGCCUGCCGCGCGGCUGGGGCCACCUACUGCGUGUCCACCUACGCGGCCGUGGCCUUCACGGCGCUCACCAGCGUGUGCCGCUGCGGCUCGGUGCGCCCGCCCGGCCCUGCGCCGCUGGGGCCCCGACCGCGCCGCGUGCGCCGCCGCCCGGCUGGCCGGCCUGGCCUGCGCCGCACCCUCGCUGGCCGCUCCCCACGCGCUGCGCCCCAGGCCGGGCGGUGCCGCUCGCUGCCUGGAGCGUGGCUGGGCUAGCGCUGGCCUGGCCUACGCCACCGUGGCCUUCUUCCCCGCCGCCUUCCUGCUGGUGCUCGCGGCCUAUGUGAGCUUGGCGCGGGCGCUCGCGGCGCCCUCGGGCCCGGGCCCGGCCCUGGCCCCAGCCAGUCCAAACCGGCGCGCGGCCAGGACCAUGGUGCUCGGGCACCUGUUGGUCUUUGCCCUCUGCCUGGCGCCCUACCACCUGCUGCUGGCGCCCUGGGUGGCCGGGCAGGAGGGCACCGUGGGCCGCGACGACGGAGGGUGCCGGGCCACCUCCACGCCUGACGUCCUGCACACCCUCAGCCUGGCGCUGCUGAGUCUCAACAGCUGCCUGGACCCGCUCAUCUACUGCUUCUCUGUGCGCCGCUUCUGCCAGGACUGCUGGGCGCUGAGCUGCCUCCCGGGGGUGGGGAGGUCCGGGGUGCAUUUGGCCUCCUUGGCCUCCUCCCAGAGAGCCCCCUGGCCUUCUGCCUGCUUCACCCCUGCCACCCUCCCAGUGGCGUCCUGGGUGGUGAAAGCUCUUUGCAAGGACCUAGACUCCAGUCCUGACACAGCCACAUACUAGCCGCCUGUAGUUGUAGACCUCCGGGCUCUGUCAAAAGGGGAAAGAACAUUCUUUGUAACCCGAAUGUUUCCUAGACUUUGCCAGUGUUUGGAUACAGAUAAUAUGCCAUUGCUUUCAAAAUCUCUGGGGAUAAACCCCGAAGUCCUAAAAAGGGCCUACAAGGGCUGAGUGGCUCCUGGCUUCUCUCUCAGCAUCCUCUCAUCCUCAUUUUUCCUCUUCUCCUCCACCACAUCUGCCCGUCUCCGUGGGUUGAGUCACCUUAUCAGUCCCUGGAACAGACGGGUUUCCUCCUCUUCAAGGCCUUUGUAACUGACUGCCAGGAAUGAUGUCCCUCUGUCUUGUUUGCUAAGUUAAUUCCUUUUCAUUCUCACUUCCUCAAACGUACCUGUAGGGAAGCCUUUCUUGACCAGCACCACAUACACCAUUCCCUAGACUGGGUUAGAUCCGGUUGCUCCUUUAUAGCUCUUUCCACAAUUGCAAUCGGGCAAUUAACUGGUUAGUUCUUUUUUUUUUUUUUUCUGUUGUUCUUUCUCUCUGUAUUUAUGUCGAUCCAUAAGAAAGUGCCAUUUUUGUAGACCCAAAAGGGUUGAAUAGUGGCAGUUUUAUUUUCAUCCAGUUCAACUUAAUAAAUUCCAUGUUUGUCUUAUUUACUGCUUGCUACUGUGCCUUGCACGUAGUAAGACCUCAGUAUGUCAGAUGAAUGCAUGAAACCUGAAUAUCAUUAGCUUAAAAUGCUCAAGGACUCACUCCGACAUUCUAGUCUCUGGUAGAUUUUCCUCAAGUGUUUCUGGGAUUCUCCAAGCUUGUAUUACCAGAUGCAUUCUUGAACCAGUCCUGAUGAUUGCUUCCUUCUGCUGUUGCUGGUUACCUGUGACUCUGCCAUCACCUCCACUGUCCCAAAAGUCCUGUGCCAAGACUUGGUGAUAACCAAGCUGGAGAUCCAUCCUGCCAUUAGCUGGGACAGGGAUCGGCCAGACUCGCUGCCUUCCGCUUCAGCUGAGCCAGGACUCUGUCACUGGGUGCAAAUCCCUGGCAGUGGUUCUGGCCACCAGUGCUUUCCCUCCUCGUGCCUUGAUGACUUAGCAGUUGGCUUCAAGUGGGGGAAUGGAACCACUCCCUCUCCUCGGCCAUGUUAUUGGAGGCCCCAUAGCAAGACUGCUUGGGUCUCAAGGAGUUAAGCUUAAUGAGUGAGGGCAGCAUGUUCAUGUUGCCAAGUCAGCUGGGUCAGGAAGGGUUCACCAGUCAGCUACCAUGUCUUACUGACCUCAGGUCCUAUUGCUGAAUUUGCCUUCUUAUGGUAAAUUUGAGAAAUUUCUUCUUUAAUUUUUGAUACGUUACUUUUCAUUGGUCCCUUAUUCCUUCUUUAAAUGUUUUCUUUUACAUUUAAAAAAUAAUACAUAUUUAUGAAAAGAAAUUCAAAGCAGUAGAGAAAAAUGCAAAAUAAAAAAUAAAGCUUCCCCCAGUGGUAACCACCAUUCACAGUUUCUUGUUGUGUAUAUCUUUCCAGAGAUUUUCUAUUACAGUACAGAUAUAGGUAUAGUCAAUUUCCUUCAAAAAUCCACAAAUGGGAUAGUGUUACAAGGUUCUUCUGCACUUUUCCUCAUUUAAUGUAUCUUGUACAUCUUUUUAUAUCAGCACGUAUAGAUGUACCUCAUUCUUUUUAAUAGAUGCAGAGUAUUGAUUUUACUCAAUUGGUCCCCCUGUUGAUGGGCAUUUUUUUUUAACAUCUUUAUUGGAGUAUAAUUGCUUUACAAUGGUGUAUUAGUUUCUGCUGUAUAACAAAGUGAAUCAGCUAUACAUAUACAUAUAUUCCCAUUUCUCCUCCCUCUUGCAUCUCCCUCCCACCCUCCCUAUCCCACCCCUUGGGCAUUUGUUUUACUGUGAUAAAUAAUGAUGCAAUGAGUGUCCCUGGCCACAAAUCUUUGCAUACUUGUAAAUCUGUAGAAUAAAUUCCUGGCAGUGAAAUUGCUGUGUCAAGGAGUAUGUGUGUGCACUUAAAUGGUUUAAUUAAAUCACCAAAUUGCCUCCAAAAAUGCAGCACCAAUUACACACCCAUCAACAGCUCGUAACAGUCCCUGUUUUAUCACACCCUCACUAGGACUGGAUAUUGUCACCUGCCUCCUUAUUGAAUCUGGACUCCUGUCUGCAUUUCAACUGUUGGCUCAUUCCAUGCAACACUGACCAUCAUCUCAGGCCAAGGCCGGGAGGCAGCCUGGGCCCACGUCAUGAGUUCACUUGCUCUGAUGGAAUGAAUUGCUUGGCCCCAGGGGCUGUGCAAAGCUGGGUCUCUGAGA